AGGCAGCAGUGGGGAAUAUUGGACAAUGGGCGCAAGCCUGAUCCAGCCAUGCCGCGUGUGUGAAGAAGGCCUUUUGGUUGUAAAGCACUUUAAGCGAGGAGGAGGCUACUUAGAUUAAUACUCUAGGAUAGUGGACGUUACUCGCAGAAUAAGCACCGGCUAACUCUGUGCCAGCAGCCGCGGUAAUACAGAGGGUGCGAGCGUUAAUCGGAUUUACUGGGCGUAAAGCGUGCGUAGGCGGCUUUUUAAGUCGGAUGUGAAAUCCCCUGAGCUUAACUUAGGAAUUGCAUUCGAUACUGGGAAGCUAGAGUAUGGGAGAGGAUGGUAGAAUUCCAGGUGUAGCGGUGAAAUGCGUAGAGAUCUGGAGGAAUACCGAUGGCGAAGGCAGCCAUCUGGCCUAAUACUGACGCUGAGGUACGAAAGCAUGGGGAGCAAACAGGAUUAGAUACCCCUGGUAGUCCANGCCGUAAACGAUGUCUACUAGCCGUUGGGGUCUUUGAGACUUUAGUGGCGCAGCUAACGCGAUAAGUAGACCGCCUGGGGAGUACGGUCGCAAGACUAAAACUCAAAUGAAUUGACGGGGGC
rnacentral:rRNA from 1 species